rnacentral:rRNA from 1 species
AUUGAACGCUGGCGGAAGGCCUAACACAUGCAAGUCGAGCGAGCGACGGACGGGUGAAACAUGUAUGAGGACUGCACGAUAGAGGGGGAUAACUACUGGAAACGGUGGCUAAUACCGCAUACUAUCGGAUAACCCAUAUGGGAUUAGCUAGUAGGUAAGGGAAUGGCUUACCUAGGCGACGAUCCCUAGCUGGUCUGAGAGGAUGAUCAGCCACACUGGGACUGAGACACGGCCCAGACGCCGACGGAGGCAGCAGUGGGGAAGAGUGCACAAUGGGCGCAAGCCUGAUGCAGCCAUGCCGCGUGUAUGAAGAAGGCCCUAGGGUUGUAAAGUACUUUCAGUCGGGAGGCGUUACCGACAGAAGAAGCACCGGCUAACUCCGUGCCAGCAGCCGCGGUAAUAC